UACGUAGGGGGCAAGCGUUAUCCGGAUUUACUGGGUGUAAAGGGAGCGUAGGUGGCAAGGCAAGCCAGAAGUGAAACCCCGGGGCUUAACCCCGCGGAUUGCUUUUGGAACUGUCUGGCUGGAGUGCAGGAGGGGCAGGCGGAAUUCCUGGUGUAGCGGUGAAAUGCGUAGAUAUCAGGAGGAACACCGGUGGCGAAGGCGGCCUGCUGGACUGUAACUGACACUGAGGCUCGAAAGCGUGGGGAGCAAACAGG
rnacentral:rRNA from 1 species